UUUCAAGUCGGCUAGGUUUUAAAUUGAAAUUGACUGAAUUAAAAAUACCUAUCCCCCUUCCUAUUUAAUUAAUCACCAACCCAUUCCCAUAACAACAGCCUAAAAACAACAAUACCCAGCAUGCAUCGGUAUCCCAAGAUAUGCCAAAAUCAACCCGGUCCAUCCCACUAAUAUUUCCCCUUCUUCGUUAUAUGCGGAUAACAACCUUCAACAAACAAAAACAAUGUACAACUCCCAACAGGGACCAACUUCAACAACAUUCAACAACAAGAGAAAACCCAUAACAUAACCGACAACAACAUCAACGGAGUGCAAACUGUAAAACACCCAAUAACGGCCAAACUCCAUCCCAGCCAUUUCAACACCCAAAUGACGUUCAACAAUAACAACAAUCAACAACAUUACACGGCAGAGCCCUAGCCACCCUCUUUUACCGAUUUACCCUUCCUCACAACCGAGAAUGGCUAGGGUCUCAUCCAUUUUUCCCUUUCUCAGCUUAUGCUCAGUCAUUUCCGGCAAUACCACAAUGGAUACCUCCUUUCCCUUUCUCUCCCCACUGAUAUUCCAGUACCAAGGCCAUUGAUGGCCUUUGUUUUACAAUGGACCUCGUUUGUCCUAGAAAAUCAAUUCCAAAAAUUUGGAUUUGAAAUCCGUUAUUUCAAAUCCGAAAAACCUAAUAUUUUUUCCCCAAAAUUUCCUUAUAAAUAAAUAGUGAGGUAUAGAGCGAAAAAGGGGAAUUUUUGGGAAAAAACUUGGAGGUUCGGGAGGCACAUGCUUCUAACCUCACGCAAUCAAAAUUCUCAAAGAACACACUCCAAAAAUCAUUUCCAAUGAAAAGUUAAAACUACGGCUAGUCAAGAUUGAAACUCCGGUGGAAAUGACACAAAUCCCAGUGGAAUUUCAUUUUCUUGAAGCUCGUUCUGUCUCGGUUACUGCCGAAAAUAGGUGAAAAUUUCACCCAUUUUGCACUGUUAUUUUCUCUAUUUACGAUAAGAAAAGACGAGAAUCUCGUUAAAUGUGAUUAUGAAAAUGGUCUUGUUUAGAUAUGUGUUCAAUUUUGCAAGAAUGCUAUGUGUAAUUUGUGCUUUAUUUAUCCUAAUAUUAAUUUGUGGAUUAUCAUAGUUCUAGUGGAAAAAAAUUAUUAGAGAAAGUUGAACAGUUAAUUUGAUUGAAAAACGUAUCACAUUUGAAUUGUGAUAACAUCGACCGAUGACACUUUGGAUGAAACUUGUUCGUAUUCAAAACCAACUUACUCUAAGGAAACAAGUGCUUUGCAAGAAACUCUUCAAAGUUGUGUUAAUGAUAUUACUAGUGGUAUGAGGCUCAAAAUUCUUAGAUGUAUAGAAAAUGUCAUAUAUAUUGAGCUGAACAGUGUGUAAUAAUUAAAGCUAGUUUUUGUCUAUCGAUGGAAAGCUAUGAGUUUUUUUUUUCCUGAAUUUAUGCGCAUGUUCGUUGUUGUCUUGGACGCCUGAUGUAGAAUUUUACCCGUUAGCAGUUUCCAUUUAUUUUUUUUUGUUAAGAAUCGAUUAAUGAAUGGAUUCAAGUUCGUUUGCUGCGGUAAGGUGAAGGAUCCAGCAAGGCCUCUAUUUUGUUUAAGUUCUGUUUUUCACAACAUUAGCCAUAAUGCCUUCUUUAAAGCUAACCAUCUGAUUGUUUUGUUUGUUCAUAAGGUUUAAAAGGACUUUGAACUAGAUUAUGGUGCCUUUUAUUUUCGUCAACCAAUUUGUGUAAUCUAUCCGAAAUAAGUAUUUAAGUCUAUACGGAGCUAAAUGUUUAAUCUAAUCUUUGGCUAAGGGAAAUGUGUUGCUUGUGUCUGGUGCGGUUACCUCUGCAUAAUAUGUUUUUUCACAAUUUGUUUGCUUGUUCAUUGGUGCAUUAUUUGGAGUGUUGAAAUUUUAAGAACCGCAUGUAUUAUUAUUAUGCAUAAAAUUGUUACAAUUCUGUGUAAUAGAUGUAAAAUGUUACGGAGAUGAAUUUGUUAGAAAAAAAUGAAUCAUAUAUUCUCCUCUAUUUAUGCACUAGUGUAUGGGAAUAGCCAUGCUAUGUUGGGAGAAUUUAUUUGGUAUCAAAUCUUAUAUCAUAUUUAACUAAUUCUUAUCUCAUAUUUUAUAUGCAUGAAAUCCAAUAAUCUCGCGUCGUUCCCUCUUGCAUAUAUGUUGAGAUAACCCUCGUUAAAGUCCGAAAAUGGAGUGAAUUACAUCAACAGGCAUUGGUAUACAAUCUGGUAUAGACUUGUAUAGAGUGGAUAUACAUUGGGAUAGCUGCAGCUGAACAUACCACAUGGUCCACGUAAAAAAAGUGGAAGUAGAGCGCGAUUUAUACAUUGAUAUACAGAGUAUACGCGGUAGUAAUACCCAAAACACAAGGAAAAGGGGCUGUGAUAUACAACUGGUAGACGUGCAGGGAAAUGGGCUUAAAGUCCAUAAAAUUGCAAGCCCAAAGACUGGGCAGCUUACUGAUGGGACAAAAUAGGCCCAACUCCAAUUUUAAUCUUUUAUUCUCAUAUAAAUUGCAACUUAUACUUAUUUAUUCGUAUUAGCACUAACUUUAAUUAAUUAACCUAGUGUUUCCCCAUGUUGUUGCUAUUUUAUUUUCUAUCGAUUGUCGUAUUUGAUUCACAAUUUUCUCACUUAAUUUAUCUCGUCUAGAUGGAUUAAAGUGGUUCUUUAUUUUUUUUUCCUAAAAUUAGUUUUAAAAGUUGAGUCUUUUAUUUUAAAAUGACACUUGUCUUGCUCAUAUGACAAAUAGCCUACUUGAAUUAAAAUAAAUUUCCUCAAAUUCAAGAGACUAAUUUUUCUCGUAAAUUCUAAUUUUCAUAAUUGAUAAAACACUUCUAACAUGACAUUCUCGUAGUAUAUAUUUCGCAA
rnacentral:lncRNA from 1 species